UGUGGGCAUAAGAAAGAUGCGAGACGGAGCUGCGUAAAUCUUUCUCGGUCGUAGAAGUGGAAUUUGACUGACAGUUGAUGGUUGACUGGGAUGUGGUUUCAGCGCAUUUAGCGGACAAGCCCACAAUGUUCAAGCGCCGAGAGAAAGGCUUUCUCUUUCAUUAUUUUGAAGCCUAAUUUUAUCUACAUUUUUGAAAAUCAGAAUCCAAUUUGGCAGGGUUAUUAAUAACCCUCUUCUCUUUGGUGUGUCAAAUUUACAAGACAUAUUUAUUUUCUCUUUCCAAGGACUUUAAGUGCAGUAAUGGAGUAUUUGUACUUAGUUACUUCUCCCUACUGUGUGUAUGUAUGUGUGUUAUUACUCAGACAGAGCGUCCAUUGUGAUGCGCCGGUGUCCCUCAAGGCGCUGGAAUCUGGCACAUUGUCUGCAUCGGAAACUCGAAGCCGUUACAACUCUCGACUUGUUUUGAAGCAAGCAGAAAAUUCCAGUGCCUGACGUGUUUUUUUUUUUUUUUUUUUUUUUGGGGGGAGGAGUGACGCCGCCGGACAAGCGUCUGGAAGGAAAAGUCUCAUUACGACCGGAGUGUUGGCGGGUCGAGGACUGUUAGAUAAGAGGGAAACCCGCCGUUGGCCGCGGGCUUCCGGAUCACGCCGGCACGGUGGACCGGUUCAGGGUGGAGCCCGCCUCCCGCCCGGAGAUAGCUGUGAUAGGCUCCAGCAGCCCGUGACCCUAGUGAGAAUGAGCGAACUUGACUUUUGGAUCUUUGUUCAUUCCAAAGCCCCACAGCUGGCUGUGACAUUCAGACGUGUUUGAUUGACAGCAGGUGCACAAGGGAACAAAAUGUCAGGAGUUCCUGACAUUCUGUGCUCGCAAGAAAAACUUUGAGUGGGGAAACACCUGCAGGAAUUUUCGUCAGGGUGCAAACAAGAGAUUAGAAAUUGCUUACUAUCAAGCCGUUCUCAAAUGCUGGAGGCGUGUCUGCUGAAUGUGCUGAAACCACGCCCCGCUCAGCCGUCAACUGUCAAUCAAAUGCCACUUCUACAACCUGUAAAACUGGAUGCUACUUCGCCUGGCAUCUUAUGCCUACACAAAACAAAUGUUUGCGCUGCAAAAAUAAGUCUCUGGAGGCUGGAAUAUAUAUCCCACCGGACCGUUGCGGGGCUUUUCCAUGCCGCAACAACGAGGCACUCUAAAGCGACCACACCAGCGCAAAGCCCCUGUCCAAAUCCUGGCUGUCUUGUUAGACUUAUUUUUUCUCCCCCUUUGAUUUUACGCCUUCUCUCCAUGACAUGCGCCCACUCAUGGUCGACAACAAGGCGCUCUAAUACGGCUGCGCCAGCCCGAAGCCCCAAAAAGAGAGGACUCGUGAGGAGCUUCUGCCACGAGUCCCGUCUAGAUCCUCACACGCAGACCAACAGACCAGAAGUCACUCACUUGGCCACGCCCAUUAAAGGCACACAUCCAACAGAUGGACACUCGAGUACGGACAGUAAUUCCACUACACUAUUUCUUAACAUUCUCUUUUAUAAUGUUUGUAUGCAGAACAGUGCCAUUUUUCCUCCCAAUAAAAACA